rnacentral:rRNA from 1 species
CCUACGGGGGGCUGCAGUAGGGAAUCUUCCACAAUGGGCGAAAGCCUGAUGGAGCAACGCCGCGUGGGUGAAGAAGGUCUUCGGAUCGUAAAACCCUGUUGUUAGAGAAGAAAGUGCGCGAGAGUAACUGUUCACGUUUCGACGGUAUCUAACCAGAAAGCCACGGCUAACUACGUGCCAGCAGCCGCGGUAAUACGUAGGUGGCAAGCGUUAUCCGGAUUUAUUGGGCGUAAAGGGAACGCAGGCGGUCUGUUAAGUCUGAUGUGAAAGCGUUCGGCUUAACCGGGGUAGUGCAGUGGAAACUGGGAGACUUGAGUGCAGAAGAGGCGAGUGGAACUCGAUGUGUAGCGGUGAAAUGCGUAGAUAUAUGGAAGAACACCAGUGGCGAAGGCGGCUCUCUGGACUGUAACUGACGCUGAGGUUCGAAAGCGUGGGUAGCAAACAGGAUUAGAUACCCUUGUAGUC